CCUCGUUCCCAGGCCUUACUUUUUCUUGCUGUUGUCACUGUUCAUCCAUAAAUCAUAAGAAAGACAUAGUGAGGCAGCAAAGAAAGAAAUGGGCGUACAGUUAAGAAAAAGUAAGGCCUGGUUUGGGAAAUCGCGUGAUCCACAAGGAUUUUUAUGAACGUGGGCGAUAUGUAGCCCACAAUCGUGACGUAAGGUAUUCUCCCACGCGUUCAGAGUUUUAAUAAGACUGUACUGAGACAACCACCAAGCUGUGCUGCAAGUCAGAUCAGAGAACCAGCGUGGCCAGCUCUGGUGGCAGUAGCUACCUGCUAUAUGAUAAUGAUGACUAAGUUAUUCUUGAUCUAUACUAUAGACUAUAGCAUGUAGAAAGACACAAUGAUAGUCUGAUAGAAUCUGAACACACAAUUGCAAAUUCAAUCUAGACUAGUUACUAGUAGAUCAUCUAGCUAAGCCUAAGGUAUAGCUAGCUAUAGUGCUUGCAAACUUCCAGUUCCAAGUCCAUGUCCAGCUUGCUGCUUUAUUAGUCAUAGAUUUCUGUGUGGGCAGUCCAACAUCUCUAGCUCAGCAUGCCCACGAUCAUUUUCACCCUUCUACCACCCUUCUACCCUCACGCGACUUCCCGAUACAGGCUCUCCUUUUUCUUAACUCUACGUCUAUUUCUUUCUUUAUUCCUCCAAUUAAUACCGUAUUUUAUCUCAUUGAACAAUUAAUACAGUAUUUUAUCUUAUUGAAAGAUUGUGAUAAAGAACAGAAAAAGGAGAGCCUGUGUAGAGGCUAGUCCAUGGAAGCUUUCACUAUUGUGUCUGGCUGGAGGUAUGGCGUCAAGUCCACCCCGUACGUAGCUCUGAUCAUGACGGCUCAGUGAACAUGCAGUGAGAGUGUCUCUGUCUUAGCUGAAGCGUCGCCGCCCAUAUCAAUGAUUGAUAUGAUAUAGAGAGGGGGAGCCAUUGCUCUCCAAGCGGAUAACUGACAAGAAUCAAGCCACUGAGCGGAAGCUAGGUAUGAUCUUUGGGGUGACCAUUCCGUGCUGUCUUUCCGUCUUCUCUGUCAUCAUCUUCCUGAGGCUUGGCUUUGUCUUGGGACAGGCUGGCUUCUGGGAGACUAUGGCGAUGCUGGUCCUAGGCUACCUGGUGGUCAUGCUCACCGUGCUCUCCAUCUCUGCCAUAGCAACCAGUGCCAUCGUUGAGGGUGGAGGAGUUUACUUCAUGAUAAGCAGAGCACUUGGUCUGGAGUUUGGUGGUUCUGUUGGUAUCAUCUUCUUCGUUGCUAACAUAUUUGCCUCAGCUGCCUACAUCAUCGGUGUGGUAUGGGAAUGAGACUCUGUUAAACUACACCAGCUGGAGUUGGAACACCUUCCUCAACAACCUAGGAUCCAACUAUCUAAUCGAGGCUUUGGAGUCUUGCAAUUGUUCUGUUAGCUCGUGAAGACAUGUGUUUGAAGGAAACCCACUUUGAUGUCAAGGUGCCCAGUCCAGGGAAGCUCAAGUUUUCUCUGCGAGUUGUCAAGUACGACAGACACGGAUACAAGGCCAGGACAAGAGCUGUCAUCAUCACUGAUACGACAGAAUAACUGCUUCUAUCUUGAUACCAGCAAUUUCAAAGUGAAGGAGCAGUUUCCCCUCAGUGACAUUUCCGCUAUCUCUGUUAGCAGCCUGAGUGAUGGAGUGGUGGUCAUCGGACUACCCACGGAGGGACCCAAUGCAAGAGGUGACCUCAUUAUCAAGACUGAGCAGGUGAUUGAGCUUGUCACUAAACUGGCUCUGUUCGGAGGGAAACUGGAUACUGUCAAAAUUGUCUCCACGGGAACAUCUCCCCCACACUGUCCUCACCUUCACCAAGCCGGUGACAUUUAGAGAACACAAUCUUCAUAGUGCGUAUAGAGGACUCGUGUUAAUUAAUUUGUUGUCAAUAAUUAAUUUUGUGUGUUUAGUUUUUCAUUUUUCAUAAUUUAAUAGUAUAGCUAUAGCUAGUCUAUAGCUAGUAUAUAUAAUUAUGAAAUAUUUUUUUAUAUCUACCCUUUGUAAAAUAAAAACUAAUGAUAAUUAGUCGAGGGCG